GAUGAACGCUGGCGGCGUGCUUAACACAUGCAAGUCGAACGAAGCACUUUAUUUGAUUUCCUUCGGGACUGAUUAUUUUGUGACUGAGUGGCGGACGGGUGAGUAACGCGUGGGUAACCUGCCUUGUACAGGGGGAUAACAGUUGGAAACGGCUGCUAAUACCGCAUAAGCGCACGGCAUCGCAUGAUGCAGUGUGAAAAACUCCGGUGGUAUAAGAUGGACCCGCGUUGGAUUAGCUAGUUGGUGAGGUAACGGCCCACCAAGGCGACGAUCCAUAGCCGACCUGAGAGGGUGACCGGCCACAUUGGGACUGAGACACGGCCCAAACUCCUACGGGAGGCAGCAGUGGGGAAUAUUGCACAAUGGGCGAAAGCCUGAUGCAGCGACGCCGCGUGAGCGAAGAAGUAUUUCGGUAUGUAAAGCUCUAUCAGCAGGGAAGAUAAUGACGGUACCUGACUAAGAAGCACCGGCUAAAUACGUGCCAGCAGCCGCGGUAAUACGUAUGGUGCAAGCGUUAUCCGGAUUUACUGGGUGUAAAGGGAGCGCAGGCGGUGCGGCAAGUCUGAUGUGAAAGCCCGGGGCUCAACCCCGGUACUGCAUUGGAAACUGUCGUACUAGAGUGUCGGAGGGGUAAGCGGAAUUCCUAGUGUAGCGGUGAAAUGCGUAGAUAUUAGGAGGAACACCAGUGGCGAAGGCGGCUUACUGGACGAUAACUGACGCUGAGGCUCGAAAGCGUGGGGAGCAAACAA
rnacentral:rRNA from 1 species